AGUGAACGCUGGCGGCGUGCUUAAUACAUGCAAGUCGAACGAUGAAGUCCUAGCUUGCUAGGAUGGAUUAGUGGCGCACGGGUGAGUAAUAUAUAGUUAAUCUGCCUUGCACUGAGGAACAACAGUUGGAAACGAUUGCUAAUACCUCAUACUCCAACUUUACAUAAGUUAAGUUGGGAAAGUCUUUUCGGUGCAAGAUGAGACUAUAUCGUAUCAGCUAGUUGGUAAGGUAAUGGCUUACCAAGGCUAUGACGCGUAACUGGUCUGAGAGGAUGAUCAGUCACAUUGGAACUGAGACACGGUCCAAACUCCUACGGGAGGCAGCAGUAAGGAAUAUUGUGCAAUGGGGGAAACCCUGACGCAGCAACGCCGCGUGGAGGAUGACACUUUUCGGGGCGUAAACUCCUUUUGUUAGGGAAGAAUAAUGACGGUACCUAACGAAUAAGCACCGGCUAACUCCGUG
rnacentral:rRNA from 1 species